rfam:Salmo salar isolate Sally breed double haploid chromosome ssa08, whole genome shotgun sequence.
UGGAAUCACUACUGUAAGUCGCUCUGGAUAAGAGCAUCUGCUAUAUGACCAAAA